UACGUAGGGAGCGAGCGUUGUUCGGAGUUACUGGGCGUAAAGAGUGCGUAGGCGGCUUUCUAAGUUUGGUGUGAAAUCUCCCGGCUCAACUGGGAGGGUGCGCCGAAGACUGGAAGGCUUGAGUAUGGGAGAGGUAAGCGGAAUUCCUGGUGUAGCGGUGAAAUGCGUAGAUAUCAGGAGGAACACCAGCGGUGUAGACGGCUUACUGGACCAUAACUGACGCUGAGGCACGAAAGCGUGGGGAGCGAACAGG
rnacentral:rRNA from 1 species